UGGCGAACGGGUGAGUAAUACAUCGGAACGUGUCCGCUCGUGGGGGACAACCAGCCGAAAGGUUGGCUAAUACCGCAUGAGUUCUACGGAAGAAAGAGGGGGACCCGCAAGGGCCUCUCGCGAGCGGAGCGGCCGAUGACUGAUUAGCCGGUUGGUGAGGUAACGGCUCACCAAAGCAACGAUCAGUAGCUGUCUGAGAGGACGACCAGCCACACUGGGACUGAGACACGGCCCAGACUCCUACGGAAGGCAGCAG
rnacentral:rRNA from 1 species